rnacentral:rRNA from 1 species
AGUGAACGCUGGCGGUAGGCCUAACACAUGCAAGUCGAACGGCAGCACAGUAAGAGCUUGCUCUUACGGGUGGCGAGUGGCGGACGGGUGAGGAAUACAUCGGAAUCUACUUUUUCGUGGGGGAUAACGUAGGGAAACUUACGCUAAUACCGCAUACGACCUACGGGUGAAAGCAGGGGAUCUUCGGACCUUGCGCGAUUGAAUGAGCCGAUGUCGGAUUAGCUAGUUGGCGGGGUAAAGGCCCACCAAGGCGACGAUCCGUAGCUGGUCUGAGAGGAUGAUCAGCCACACUGGAACUGAGACACGGUCCAGACUCCUACGGGAGGCCGCAGUGGGGAAUAUUGGACAAUGGGCGCAAGCCUGAUCCAGCCGUACCGCGUGGGUGAAGAAGGCCUUCGGGUUGUAAAGCCCUUUUGUUGGGAAAGAAAAGCAGCAGGUUAAUACCCCGCUGUUCUGACGGUACCCAAAGAAUAAGCACCGGCUAACUUCGUG